GGAGGCAGCAGUGGGGAAUUUUGGACAAUGGGGGCAACCCUGAUCCAGCAAUGCCGCGUGUGUGAAGAAGGCCUUCGGGUUGUAAAGCACUUUUGUCCGGAAAGAAAACUUUCGCCCUAAUACGGCGGGAGGAUGACGGUACCGGAAGAAUAAGCACCGGCUAACUACGUGCCAGCAGCCGCGGUAAUACGUAGGGUGCGAGCGUUAAUCGGAAUUACUGGGCGUAAAGCGUGCGCAGGCGGUGCUGUAAGACCGAUGUGAAAUCCCCGGGCUUAACCUGGGAACUGCAUUGGUGACUGCAGCGCUGGAGUAUGGCAGAGGGGGGUGGAAUUCCACGUGUAGCAGUGAAAUGCGUAGAGAUGUGGAGGAACACCGAUGGCGAAGGCAGCCCCCUGGGCCAAUACUGACGCUCAUGCACGAAAGCGUGGGGAGCAAACAGGAUUAGAUACCCUGGUAGUCCACGCCCUAAACGAUGUCAACUGGUUGUCGGGCCUUCAUUGGCUUGGUAACGUAGCUAACGCGUGAAGUUGACCGCCUGGGGAGUACGGUCGCAAGAUUAAAACUCAAAGGAAUUGACGGGGACCCGCACAAGCGGUGGAUGAUGUGGAUUAAUUCGAUGCAACGCGAAAAACCUUACCUACCCU
rnacentral:rRNA from 1 species